AACGCACAUUGCGCCCUUUGGUAUUCCGAGGGGCACGCCUGUUCGAGCGUCAUUUAAACCAUCAAGCCCUGCUUGGUCUUGGACGCGGUCGAGUGACCCGUCCGUAACCCGUUGGCGGUGCAGUCCGGCUUCAAGCGUAGUAAGAAUUUCGCUUCAGGAGCCCGCGGCGGCGUCUGCCAGGAAACACCACCUAAAGUUUGACCUCGGAUCAGGUGAGGAUACCCGCUGAACUUAA
rnacentral:misc_RNA from 1 species